rnacentral:lncRNA from 11 species
AUGACGAGGCUGUGGUCCAAUGGCAAUUUGAACAAGGGCCACAAUUGGCCUAAGCCUGCAUCAAAGGCCCGAAGCAGUGCUGCAGUGGUCAGGUGCAACGUUAACUCAAGAAUAAGUCUCCCCAGGUUUUGGGAGGGUCAGGUUUGGCAUGUUAUUCUUAUUUGUACAUGCAUGUUCACGCCAGGACAAUGGUGGGGAUGGGUCUGGGUUUGCCGCUAUCAUCAGCCCCAUUGCCAGGGAUGCUGGGAUUUGUACUUUGGCCACACUGGGGGUGGGGCUUGCACGCUCCCUGUCUUUGGGGAGGGGUCAUCUUUGGGGUCUGACCCCCUUUUUUCUCCCUCCCUCCACAGCUGGCCUGUGAAUGCUACGCCCUGCUUCCCUCGCUGGGCGCCGGCUUCACGCAGGGCCUCAAAUACACCGAGUGCUGGGAGCAGCAGGCCCACUGCCUCCUGGCCACCCUCCACAGCCUGCUGGGGACCCUCUACGAGGGGGCCGAGACAGACCCCCUCCAUUACGAGGGUCCCGGCAUGGAGAUGGGGCUGCCCCCCUCCGAGGACGGGGAGACCGGCUUCCUCCUGCAGCUGCGCCAGCGCUUCUCGGGGCUCCUCCGGUGCCUCUGCAACAUGCUCAGCAAGGAGUUUGUGGCCCCGGUCACGGUCCCCGUCCAAGACAUCCUGGACCUUGUCUGCCGGGCCCUGGACAUCAACACCAAAAACAUUAGCUGGUUUGGGGACGGCCCCCUGAGGAUGCUCUUCCUGCCCUCCGUCCACCUGGAGGCCCUGGACCUCCUCUCGGCCCUCAUCUUGGCGUGAGUCUUGGGGGGGGGUCUGUGGCCAGACCUGGGGGGUGGUGGUCUCCCCAAGGGGCGGUUGUGCCCUCCCUUUGCACUGAUGCCACCCCCUCCCCUCCUCCCUUCCUCCCUUGCAGGUGUGGCCCUCGCCUGGUGCGCUUUGGGGGGACCCUCCGCAGGCUCUUCCCGCAGGUCCUGGGCACCUGGGGCGCCGGGAGGGAGCUCUUCCCCGCCGGGCAGGAGCGGCCCUACAGGUCAGUACUGGCUUGGCCUCUCAUCUUGGCUUUGGGGUGGAGUGGCCCCACGGCAUGGCCCCCAGGGUGAGCCUUCUGCAGGAGUACACGGCAUACAGAAUCAUAGAAUCAUAAUGGGUGAGGCUGUGGAGUGAGACGGUGUUCACGGUUAUUUAGCAAUGUGUCAAGGAGCAGUCACGCUUCAUGGAAUCCUAGAAUAAUAGAGUUGGGAGAGACCACAAUGGCCAUCUCCUUCAAAACGCAAUCUGCCUUGCUGGAAAAGCACCAUCAGAGCAGCCCUGACAGAUGCCCAUCCAGCCUCAAUAAUAGUAGUAAUAAUAGUAGUAAUAAUAAUGAAAAUAAUAAUAGAGUUGGAAGAGACUGCAUGGGCCAUCCACUCAAUCUCUUCUGCGAGGCAGGAACAGCACAAUCAAAGCACCCCUGACAGAUGGCCUAUAGCCCAAAUAAUGCAGUAGUCUCUCACUUAUAAUAAUAAUAAUAAUAAUAAUGAUAAUAAUAACUUUAUUUUUAUACCCUGCCCCAUCUCCCCAAAGGGACUCGUGGUGGCUUACAUGGGGCCUGGCCCGAUAAAACAAACAAAUAACAGUAACAAAGCAAUAAAACAAUUAUCCCAGUAAAAAACAUCAACAUCAAUAAAAACAAUCAUUAAAAUCAACAAGCAGGAUACAGUGUUAAAAACAGGAGACUUAUCCAACAUAAACGGGCCGGCAGAACGUUGAAUAAGCGAAUAUGUUGGAUAAUAAGGAGAAAUUAAGGAGAAGCCUAUUAAACAUCAAAUUAGGCUAUGAUUUUACAAAUUAAGCACCAAAACAUCAUGUUAUACAACAAAUUUGACAGAAAAAGUAGUUCAAUACGCAGUAAUGCUAUGUAGUAAUUACUGUAUAUACAAAUUAAGCACCAAAAUAUCACGAUGCAUUGAAAACAUUGACUACAAAAAUGCGUUGGAUAAUCCAGAACGUUGGACAAGCGAGUGUUGGAUAAGUGAGACUCUACUGUAAUAAUAAUAAUAAUAAUAGUAAUAGUAAUAAUAGAGUUGGAAGAGACUGCAUGGGCCAAUCCACUCACCUCUUCUGCAAGGAGGAACAGCACAAUCAAAGCACCCCUGACAGAUGGCCAUUCGGCCCCAAUAAUAAUAAUAAUAAUAGUUGUUGUAAUAAUAAUAAUAAUCAUAGAGUUGGAAGAGACUGCAUGGGCCAUCCACUCAAUCUCUUCUGCAAGGCAGGAACAGCACAAUCAAAGCACCCCUGACAGAUGGCCAUUCGGCCCCAAUAAUAAUAAUAAUAAUAAUAAUAAUAAUAAUAAUAAUAAUAAUAAUAAUAAUAAUAGUAGUAAUAGUAAUAAUAGAGUUGGAAGAGACUGCAUGGGCCAUCCACUCAACCUCUUUUGCAUGGCAGAAACAGCACAAUCAAAGCACCCCUGACAGAUGGCCAUCCAGCCCCAAUAAUAAUAAUAAUAAUAGUAAUAAUAGAGUUGGUAGAGACUGCAUGGGCUAUCCACUCAAUCUCUUCCGCAAGGCAGAAACAGCACAAUCAGAGCACCCCUGACAGAUGGCCAUCCAGCCUCUGUUUAAAAGCUUCCAAAGAAGGAGCUUCCACUAGAGUCUGAGGCAGAGAGUUCCGCUGUUGAACAGCUCGUACAGUCUGGGAGUUCUUCCUAAUGUUCAGGUGGUAUUUGUUUGUUUAAAACAUUUAUACUCACUUAUUGCUGGGGGUGACGUUCCAGGACCACCCGUGAAAAGUGAAAAUCCGUGAAGUAGGGACAUUGUAUUUGUGUUGUUUACAAUCUUAGCGCUGAUCUUAUGUGCCAGGCACCUUGAGGCAGGGAAGGGCUUCUUGGGGCUCCCUUCUCAAACUCAAGCGGUCUUGAGUUACAUCAGGCAUGGGCCAACUUUGGCCCUCCCUCCGGGUGUUUUGGACUCCAACUCCCACCAUUCCUAACAGCCUCAGGCCCUUUCCUUUCCCCCCUCAGCCGCUUAAGCGCCUGAGUCUGAACA